CCUACGGGAGACAGCAGUGAGGAAUAUUGGUCAAUGGACGAGAGUCUGAACCAGCCAAGUAGCGUGAAGGAUGACUGCCCUAUGGGUUGUAAACUUCUUUUAUAUGGGAAUAAAAUGUUCCACGUGUGGGAUUUUGUAUGUACCAUAUGAAUAAGGAUCGGCUAACUCCGUGCCAGCAGCCGCGGUAAUACGGAGGAUCCGAGCGUUAUCCGGAUUUAUUGGGUUUAAAGGGAGCGUAGGUGGAUUGUUAAGUCAGUUGUGAAAGUUUGCGGCUCAACCGUACAAUUGCAGUUGAAACUGGCAGUCUUGAGUACAGUAGAGGUAGGCGGAAUGCGUGGUGUAGCGGUGAAAUGCUUAGAUAUCACGAAGAACUCCGAUUGCGAAGGCAGUUCACUGGACUGCAACUGACACUGAGGCUCGAAAGUGUGGGUAUCAAACAGGAUUAGAUACCCGGGUAGUC
rnacentral:rRNA from 1 species